AUUGAACGCUGGCGGCAUGCCUUACACAUGCAAGUCGAACGGUAACAGGUUAAGCUGACGAGUGGCGAACGGGUGAGUAAUAUAUCGGAACGUGCCCAGUAAUGGGGGAUAGCCCGGCGAAAGCCGGAUUAAUACCGCAUACGACCUACGGGUGAAAGCAGGGGAUCGCAAGACCUUGCGUUAUUGGAGCGGCCGAUAUCAGAUUAGCUUGUUGGUGGGGUAAAAGCCCACCAAGGCGACGAUCUGUAGCUGGUCUGAGAGGACGACCAGCCACACUGGGACUGAGACACGGCCCAGACUCCUACGGGAGGCAGCAGUGGGGAAUUUUGGACAAUGGACGCAAGUCUGAUCCAGCCAUGCCGCGUGCGGGAAGAAGGCCUCGGUU
rnacentral:rRNA from 1 species